CGCGAAUGGCUCAGGAACCGGACCUAAUCCUCGGGACCGUAAUCCUCCUCUUUGGAGGCGAUGGAUAACUGUGGCAAUUCUAGAGCUAAUACAUGUGACACAAGCCGCGAUCGGUCGGCGCGCAGCCGUCGCUCUCGCCUUUACUGUGCGUGGGCAACCCGCGUCGAUCGUUCCGGGUCGCGGCGCUACAUAUUAGACUGAGACCGAUGCGCGUUCUUCCGUCCUCCCGUUUUGCUCGCGGNCCUCCCCCNGUCGCGACUCGUUUGCGGCAGGGGANNCCGUGUGGCGGGGCGGGGCUACUAUGGGCGGCGCGCUCCGCUUUGGUGACUCUGGAUAACUCACUGGUCGAUCGCACCGGCUUUCAUGCCUGGCGACGGGUCUCUCGAGGGUCCGCCCUAUCAACUGUCGACGGUCGGUUAAGUGCCUACCGUGGUUACUACGGGUAACGGGGAAUCGGGGUUCGAUUCCGGAGAGGGAGCAUGCGAAACGGCUACCACAUCCAAGGAAGGCAGCAGGCGCGCAAAUUACCCACUCCCGGCACGGGGAGGUAGUGACGAAAAAUAACGACGCGGGACUCUGUCGAGGCCCCGCGAUCGGAAUGAGUACACUUCAAAUCCGUNAACGAGGACCAACCGGAGGGCAAGUCUGGUGCCAGCAGCCGCGGUAAUUCCAGCUCCGGUAGCGUAUAUUAAAGUUGUUGCGGUUAAAAAGCUCGUAGUCCGAACUCGGGUUCGUGGUCGCUCGCGCGGCCCCGGGGCGGCGGCGCCAUCGUCCGUCGUUGACUUUGGUCGUCCGUUCGCAUUCCCGGCCCUUUCCGCCGGUGUCGACUGCCAUGUACAUCCGCCUCGCGGUCCUGCCGGCGGGAAUCUUUUGCGCGGUCGUCCGGGUUGGGGGUUGGCGUUUAUUUCGGGGGCGGUUCCGGCGGCGUCGCGGUUGGUCUCCGACCGGCAGCUUCGUCUCCUCGUCUCCUUCUUAUCGCCUCUCUCCUCGCCUCACGUCGCCGUGCAAAGCUCUCGUCGUGCGCGCGUGUUUGCGGUCGGGCGGUUUCUCCUCCAAGGGUGCUCUUAACCGAGUGUCCGCGGCGGCCGGUACGUUCACUUUGAAAAAAUUAGAGUGCUCAGAGCGGGCUGUUCAAGCUUGCAUACGAUAAGCAUGGAAUGAUGGAAGAGGGCCUCGUCUACGUCUGUCGGUCUCCGUCUACGGCGAGGCAAUGAUCGAAGGGAGCGGUCGGGGCCACUCGUAUUGCGACGUUAGAGGUGAAAUUCUUGGAUCGUCGCAAGACGAACUGCAGCGAUGGCGUGUGGCAAGCACGUUUUCCUCGAUCAAGAGCGAAAGUCGGAGGUUCGAAGACGAUCAGAUACCGUCGUAGUUCCGACCGUAAACGAUGCCGACCGGCGAUCCGCCGGCGUUCGCUUCCAUGACCCGGCGGGUAGCCUGCGGGAAACCAGAGUUCGGUUCCGGGGGGAGUAUGGUUGCAAAGCUGAAACUUAAAGGAAUUGACGGAAGGGCACCACCAGGAGUGGAGCCUGCGGCUUAAUUUGACUCAACACGGGAAAACUCACCCGGUCCGGACACCGGUAGGAUUGACAGAUCGAUAGCUCUUUCUCGAUUCGGUGGGUGGUGGUGCAUGGCCGUUCUUAGUUGGUGGAGCGAUCCGUCUGGUUGAUUCCGAUAACGAACGAGACUCCGGCCUGCUAACUAGUGCGCCGAUGUGUGUGCGUUUUUCGCUACGGCGGGCUCGGGCCGUGCGUGUUCGGUCGCGCGUUUGUCUCGUGCGUUUCUUUCUCGCGUUUUCGUUUUUUCGUUCGGUGGGUUUUGGGGGGCGGCAGGCGUGUCGGGAGGG
rnacentral:rRNA from 1 species